rnacentral:tmRNA from 1 species
GGGGAUGAAAGGAUUUCGACGGGGACUCUGAACUCUGAUAAGCGGGUAGUGCCUGUGCAACCACUUUAAACUGCACAAACUUUAAAAAUAAACGACAAUACUACAGUAUUGAAGGCUGCUUAACGCAGCCCGUCUGAGCUUCGAGUACUGCGGCGAAGCAUCAGGCGUCACGAAGCAGUGAACGUGAACGGCCGAGCGCCUCGUAGGUCGUCAUGAAUCAGGGGCUACCAAGAAUCAAAGCCUGUCUUUCGGCGUUGGUUUGAGGGAAUUUUAAAAGACUGACUGCACCCGGAGAAAGUCAGACGGAUCGGUUUUCGGACGCGGUUUCGAUUACCGCCAUCUCCACCA